rnacentral:rRNA from 1 species
GAGUUUGAUCGUGGCUCAGAUUGAACGCUGGCGGAAUGCUUUACACAUGCAAGUCGAGCGGCAGCGCGGGGCAACCUGGCGGCGAGCGGCGAACGGGUGAGUAAUGCAUCGGAACAUGUCCAUGUCGUGGGGGAUAGCCCGGCGAAAGCCGGAUUAAUACCGCAUACGCCCGAGAGGGGAAAGCCGGGGACCGCAAGGCCUGGCGCGAUUGGGUUGGCCGAUGUCCGAUUAGCUAGUUGGCGGGGUAAGAGCCCACCAAGGCGAUGAUCGGUAGCUGGUCUGAGAGGAUGAUCAGCCACACUGGGACUGAGACACGGCCCAGACUCCUACGGGAGGCAGCAGUGGGGAAUUUUGGACAAUGGGGGAAACCCUGAUCCAGCCAUUCCGCGUGAGUGAAGAAGGCCUCGGUUGUAAG